GAGCGUGAGUGGGGGAAGGGCAGAGAGAGAGGAAGACACAGAAUCUGAAGAGGCUCCAGGCUGUGAGCUGUCAGCACAGAGCCCAAUGUGGGGCUGGGACCCACGAACCAUGAGAUCAUGACCUGAGCCAAAGCCGGACGUUUAACUGACUGAGCCACUCAGGCACCCCGCAUUACCAUAUUUUUUAAGGGUUAAUACUUAUAUUAAUUUUUGACAUUCUAUGGUAAAUAGUGUUGAACUGAGUAGUCACAAUUUCAAAUAAAAUUCAUUACUUAUUCUUAAGUGGUAUUCAUAUUUGAAAUAAUAGUGUUACAAAGUAAACCAUUGCCCACCCCUCCCCUCUCCUUGUAUUUUUCCCAGAUUAUUUGUUGCUAAAUCUGGGGUGUAUGAAGAAGAGAGUAGUAGGUGAUAAAAUCAGAGAGGUAAUGAGGGGCCAGAUUGUGUUCAGUCUUUUAGGCCUUUGUUAGCACUUUACCUCUAUUCACAGUGAGAUGGGAAGGCAUUGUUGGACUUUAAGAAGUGUGAUGAAAUGGGGCACCUGGGUGGCUCAGUCUGCUGAACGUCCAACUUUGGCUCAGGUCACGAUGUCACGGUUCGUGAGUUCGAGCCCCUCAUCAGGCUCUCUGCUGUCAGGGCAGAUCCUGCUUCAGAUCCUCUGUCUACCUUUUUCUCUGCCCCUCCCCACUUCACGCAUGCUUGUUCUCCCUCUCUCUUAUCAAAAAUAAAAAUAAACGUUAAAAAAAAAAAGUGUGAUGAACUGACUUUACAUUUUAACAAGACAAAUUGGAUUAAGGGCAGAAGCAGAGAGACCUUUUAGGAAGCAGUUGGCUUACUGGAGAAUGAUAAUAGCAUUGGCUUACGCCAAAGUGGUAACAGUAAUGUUGAGAAUUGAUGGAAUUUUGGAUGUAUUUGAAGGUGUCAGUUGACAUUAUUUGCUGAUGGAUUGGAUGUGAGGUGUGAGAGAAAGCAGUGAAGGAUGACUGAAGGUUGUGACUUGAGCAAUUGGAAAAAUAGUGUAGCCAUUCCCUAGAUGAGUAAAACAAGAGGAUCAAAUAUGGUAGAUUGUUCAGCAACUCAGGUUUAGGCAGGUUAAGUUUGAGAUGCCAGUUAGACAUCCAAGUAGGUCUGUCAAAUACGUAGUUAGAUAUAUUAGUUUGAGGUUCAGUAGACAGGUCUGGGCAGAAUAAUCAUUUCCCUCUGUGUAUUUACACAGCACAUUUUUCAUACUAUUAUUUUUACUACGAUUUCCGUAUCGUUUUAGAGCUGUUUGAAUGUGUGGUAUGUAUCCCCUGCCUCUCUAUGCAGUUUCCCCAUCUCUGUCCCCCAGUCUUAGUGGUCUUACUGAGAGGGGAAUGGCAGACCUCUUGCCUUGGUUAAUUUUAUGGCCACAAAGCCUGGUCUGGAGGACAUGUACACUAAAUAUUCAUUGAAUUGAAUCAAAAUUUUAAAAUCCAUUUUCCUUCAAGUAGAAAGAAAAAUAUUUACUUGGAAACUAUACUCUGACAUUGCUGUAAUCCUUGAUGAGUAGAUUGUGUUAUAAUGUCAUUUAUUAUAACAGACUAAUAUUUUUGUGAGGUGAAUUUAUGUUGUUAUAUUCUAAUAUAUUUAACUUUUCUGGUGAUUCUGCUUAUCCUUGAACAUAGACUAUGCUUCCUUAAAGCUGUAGUUAUCAUUAGUUUAGGAUCAACGUAGAAAAAUUAAAUGUUAUGUAGAGCUUCGCAUUCUUUAGGGCAACAUUUGGUGCUUUCUGAAUUUAAUUUGGGUACAAACCAGAAUCUGUGAUGUUUUUGGGUUUGUUCUUUAUAAAUCUUUCUAUUUCUGUUAUAAAACUAUUAAUAGCAUGAUUUACCAAAGUGUUUUCAUAUACUUUUUUAUUUCAUAAUAUAUGUACCAGAGCCCUCUUAUAACUGCUACCAUGAGGUUGACCUUAAUCAUCCUCAAAGAGAUUAUAUUUAUUGCAGAUCUUUGAAAGAACUUUUUCUAGUCCAGUCUUAUUGACAUAGCAACCAAGUAUAGGCUGAGGUUUGAGUUUGUGAGAAAGGGGUGUAUGUGUUAGACAUACCUGGGUUUGAAUCCUGACUUUUUCUUUGAACGUGAAUGAGUUGUAAUGAUGAUAAAAAUAGGAAUAAUAAAUUGUUGGGAGAAUUAAAUAAUAUAUAUAAUGUAUAUAUUAUUUAUACAGUAUGUAUUUUUAUGUGCAACAUAGUAAUAUACAGUUUAUACUGAUUGGUUCUGAUGAGAGAAUUCUAUGCAAGUCUAGAGACCUUUCUUUUUGUUUGUGUUUUUGACAGAAUCUUACAGUAGAAAUAUUUUAAAACAACUAAAACCUUUUGAAAAAUAAUUUAAAACAACUUGAAAGGCAGUCUUAAGGAAAAAAAAAAUAACUUACCCAUAAUCCCACGUUCUAACUAACCAAUGUUAUUUCAGCGCCCCUUGUUUCAUCUUUUAUAUACAUUGUCAUGGAUGUUUUAGAAAGGAAGGGAAAUCAUAAAUACACUUCUAAGAUUUUUAGAAAAUUUAAGAAUUUUGCUCAUAAGGAUUAAGUAGGUUUAGCAGGAAAGAAUGACUUUCCCCAAAUAGUUUAAAAAACCUAGAAGUUUUACGUUUAUAAAGUUGAUGCCAAAGUAGUAAAAUGUAGUUUAGAGGCACCCAGUCACUGUUUUAAGUAUGCAUUUUAAAGAUCUCCAGGGCAAGAGCUCUUUACCUGGUGAAGAUAUAUACAAAAUUUUGUCUGUAUGUACAUUUUUCUGAGAGAAUCCAUGAAUUCAGGUCAUCAAAAGCCUCUUUUUUUUUUUAAGUUUAUAUAUUUAUUUUCAGAGAAAGAGAGGGAGAGGAAAUUCCAAGCAGGCUCCUCUCUGUCAGUAGAGAGACUGACGUGGGGCUUGAUCUCAUGAACCAUGGCAUCAUGACCUGAGCCAAAAUCAAGAACCAGAUGCUUGACCAACUGAGCCACCCAGGUGCCCCCAGAUUAUCAAAAGAACCUUAACUCAAAAAGUUAAGAACACCUUCACUACAGUAAAACUUCAUAAAGUUCGUUUCAACUUCCUUAAAGUGGCUUGUAUUUCAAAGCAAUUAUUGCUUCCCAGUGUUUCAUGUGUCUCAUUUUCUUAAAUAUUAAAAAUAUAAUGGUGCCUAAAUUUUCUUUUUUUUUCCACUUUAUAGUUUUUUUUUUUUUUUUCAUUUUGCUACAGCUCUAAGGAUGGAGUAAUUAUUUAGAAAAGUACUUGAUGGCAUACAUUUUACUAUUUAAUUUCAGAGCUUUCUACCAUCCUAAGCGAAUUCUAUCAUUUCUACUGUGGUAGAGAAGAAAUAUGGUAUUUUGUCCUACUGCCCUAUUUGUCCUAUUUUGAAUGUGGAUGUCAGUUUUAUUGACUAUAAUCCCUAUACCUGGUACCUCUCUACUUCAGUUCUUCAACUCUGAAUUAUGUUUCAGCUCUGGGUAAAAUAACACAAAUUUAAAGAGAGAAAUGGCAUGUCUGUUCUGUUUCAGUGUAGAAGUCUGAAAGACUUCUGAAGAAGUCAGAUGAAAAUUUAAAAUCCCUUGUACCAGGCAGUUCUUUGCUGUGGAACUCUCAUUGAAUUUUGAGAACCUGCAGUGCCGUGCAGCCUUUUUUCCUCUCUCAGGAUAGGUAGUAAGACUCAGGCAAAGUCCUGGUAUUUGAUAUCUACAAAAGAAAUUAAAGGGGUGUUGCUUGUCACUUGGUAGAGCCCUUUUGUGGAAAUCUGAACCUUUGACUAUUCUGUACUAAUUAUAUGAAAGUUCGUUUGUUCUUCCUUCCCUCUCUCCCUCCCUCCCUCUUUGUCUUUCUUUCUCUCUUCCUCCCUCCACCCUUCCUUUUUUCUUUUUUCUUUUCUUUCUUUCCACAAUGCCAUAUAUAGAUUUUCCUUAAAUUCCUUAAAGAAACUUUUGAAGGAAAUAGGUGAAUAUGAGUUUUAGUUGUGAAUUACAAAUAUAUUCAUUUGGCUAUAUUUCUUUAGCUAUGUCAUGAGUGUUUUUUCUUUUAUACAGUUACCAGAAAAGAAUUCUGGAAAUCCAGCCUUUAAAAAAAUUUUUUUUUAAUGUUUAUUUAUUUUUGAGAGAGAGAGAGAGAAACAGAGCCAGAGUAUGAGCAGGGGAGGGGCAGAGAGAGAGAGAGGGAGACACAGAAUCUGAAGCAGGCUCCAGGCUUUGAGCUGUUAGCACAGAGCCUGAUACGGGGCUCGAACCCAUGGACUGGACCAUGAGAUCAUGACCUAAGCUGAAGUUGGAUGCUCAACUGACUGAGCCACCCAGACACCCUGGAAAUCCAGCCUUAAUUAAGGAUACAAAAUAUAUUCAAAUAUAUAUACUGAAAAUACAGCCUUUUAGCAGGGAAAGUGUAUGUUGAAUUUAACCAAAGGAUCAGUCUCAAGAUAGUUUUGUAAUUAUAGCUAUAGUAAGAAUAUGGUUCUAUUUAAAAAGGGAGGCAGAUAAAUCCAGUUGAUAAUUUGUUGGGUCAUGAGAGUUCAAGGGAACGGCUAAAGAAGACAAGGUUGAAGAAUAUGUAAAACAGCUUUCCCCUUCUCAUGUAUUCCUCUCUUCAAAAUUUUCAAGUUAAUUUAAGGUCUUACUAACUGCGUUUUCAGAAGGAUUAAACUCUUGAAUUAAAUGCCCUGACAGGGUUUCAUUUUUAUCUUGACUAUAAAUUUGUGUUUCUUAAAACUUUUUUUUAAUUUCAUUUGUUUUUCUCAUUGUCUAUAUUAUUAAUUGAACUAAGAAUUAAAGUAACUUCCUUUACUAUCUUGUUAACUCUUCUCCUACCUUCUCCUUUUUGGCACAUAAAUUUUAUUUAAGGUUGGGCCCAUGCUAUGUGAGUGUAUGUGUAUUCCAUACGGUUUCAAAGUGGAAGCAUGGAUCUAAUUACGAAAAUAGUGUGCCAUCUUGUGGAGGAUUUUUCAGACAGUAAAGUCAGAUUUACCCAGAGGAAUUAGUAGGAGGAUAGGUACUGCAGUCGGGCUCAUAAGAUAAAAAGCCUGCCUCUUUGUGCAGAAUGGUGUUAAGACACUGAUGUGUUAACAUUUCUACCUUAUUUUUAGUGUAAAUAAGAUGUGUAUACGAGUACUGCUAGAGUAAGUAAUUAUAGGGUUUAUUUAGUACUGGUGCCAAAAAGAUUUGUGCUUAAGAAUGUGGUUGAAUUUUAGUUUUUGUGGCCUCAGUAACAACAGAUUGAUUGAUUGAUCAUUGAUUCAGUCUCUUAGAAUGAAAUUGGUUUGACAUCUUGAACUUAGGCCGUUAUUGGUCACUUUACUUCCAAUCCCUCUCUUUUGCCGGCUUCUCCAUCUUGAUCAAGUCCUAUCAUGCUUCACGUUCAGAAUUGGCCUAGUUGCAUGUCUGCUUAGGAUCUUCUGAAGCUACUGUAUGGUCUGUGGAGUUGAGUUCGGAGCCUUUAUGUUGUUAUUUAACCCCUUCCACGAUCUGGCCACUACCUGUCUUUUUAACCUUUUGUGUUCUUUUAAAUCGAACAGUGCGUUUAUUCAUCACACAGUGUUAACCACUUUGCAUGCAUUAUUUAAUUUAACUCUCACAGUAGCUUUAUAAACUAGGUGCUGUGUGCUGUUUUGGAUGUAAGGAGACCGACAGUGGUAGAGCUUUAAUUCUAUCUGAGAUCUGCCUGACUUUAGAAUCCAUGUGCUUUAAGAUACUUCUCAUGUGUUUUUCUGUCUCUGUACCUUUGUUAUACUUUUUACUCUGCUUGAAAAGUCCUCCUCUCCGUUUCCCAUUCUGCCACCAAAGCCAUCUUCUGCUGGAUAGGUCACAUGCCACUGCCACCAUGAAACCUUUCCUGAGUCCCUUCCACCAGGUAUACUCUCUUCCCUCUUUUGAACUCCCCAUGGUGCUUUUUACCUUUCUUAUGGCACUUAGGCUGCCCUGCGUUAUGGUGACUUAUGUGCCUGUUUUAUAUUCUUUUUUUUUUUUUAAUGUUUAUUUGAGAGGGAGCACGUGCUAGUGUGAGCAGGGGGAGGGGCAGAGAGAGAGGGAGACAGGAUCCCAAGCAAGAUCCUCUGCGUGCUGGGAGAAAUGGAUAGCCACAAUAGCCUGUGCUCCUUUAAGAAAAAAAUACAGAGAAAGAGCUGCUGCUUGAGGAGGACUGUACUGCCCAGGGAUGUACGUGAAUUGUUACAUAACCUAUAAGCAUGAGCCUGGACCCCGUUGCGAAUAAUGUUUUUUCUGUUUCCUUCUCCCUGCAGUUCUCUCCAGUGAUUUCUAUAAUCUUUAAAAGUUUUUGAUACCCUUUACUCAUUAAUUAAUACUUUUGCUCGUGUUUAUUUCUAGAUAAUAUUUCAUCUCUGAAUGAUUUAAAUGAUGAGAUGAUUUAAUUAAAAAUUUGUCAUGCAUUUCAUUCAGGUAUGUCAAAAGGUCCUGCUUCCAUCCGACUCAUUCAAUUUUACUAUUAAACUUCAACUGGGACUACAAAGCAUUCACAGACAAGAAUGACAUCUUGGAUUAAUUCCAUUGGGAUGCUUGCUCUCUGCCAGAUUUUAUUUUGCUCAGCUAUCAAUGAGGCUGUUGUGGAAAUGUGGGUUUUCUUUGCUGUGAGAAUUUAUGCGUACAAAGAGACCUGCUUUUCAGAAAGAACAUUGAGAACCCAGAGCCCAAGAGGAAGGGUUAUUAAAGUUAAUGAACCAGGGUAACCUUAUCCAAAGGGUACCCAGAAACACUAUAAAACAAAAGGUCAAUUGCUAUUGCUAUUUUAGUUAUAUAUCGCCUCCCUCUCCUGGCCUCAGAAUUUAUCAGGGUUAAUUGCAUUUACAGUGAAGCCUUGGCAAAUAAUUUUUAAGGCAGAUGAAAAUUCUUUAAUUUUUUUAUUCUUGUAAAACUUGAAGUAUCUGGGCAUCACCGCAUGUCAUUUGGGAAACAGAAUGUUACUUAACUAAUGAAAAUGGAUUGUUGUAUAGUUCUGAGAUAUUAUUUUUUAACAGUUUAAAAUAAUUGCCAUUAUUUCACAUUUGUACAGAGCCAGAGUGUUCUAGGUACUGAGUUAGACAUGAAAUCAGAUACAAUAAUGCUGUUUUUAUUGCAUCUGUGGCACUUAGUAACCACAGAGGAUUUUUUAUUUUUGUGCAUGUCUUAGAGGUAAAAAUGCUGUUCAUGCUUGAUAGACUUCAGAAUGUUUUUGUGUAACUUACAUCUGAAGAACUAUACCACAACACUGAGAGUUUUGUAAGUGAAAAAACUAAGACCCAGGGAGAUUCUGUGGCCUGUACUUGAUUUGACUACCCAGUUAGCACUAGAACUCGGUCCUGUCCCAAUGGUAUGUUCCUACCCAGAAGCACUGUUUUGAUUUCCCUAGCUUCUUAGGGCAUAGAAUGGGGCAUUUCACUUAGAAAAUUCACUUAGGGUUUGAAAUUAUAUGAAAAUAUGAUAAAAAUUUCUUAGACAAAAGCCUAGCUCUGUGAGUGGCAAGAAUUUUCUUAAUGGUGUCACAGUAUUUCGAAGUGCACUUUGAAUUGUAACCCUUCAUGGUAGGACAUAACUUAGAUGCCAGCCUCCACAUAUGUAGGCCUAGGGCGUGUCAGUUAGGUAGUAGGUGGUUUUAUAGUGUUCCUGUAUGUCUUAUUUAACUUUUUAAAAAAGGGGGGUACCUGGCUGGCUCAGUUGGUAGAGCAUGUGACUCUUGACCUUGGGGUGGUGACUUUGAGCUCCACGUUGGCAUAGAGUUUACUUAAAAAAAAGGAAAGAAAUGCCAUAACUUAAAAAAAUAAAUAAAUAAAUUGGUGGGACUUGUGUAACAAGUAGACAGAGUCAUUUAAAAGGGGGUUAUAUUUGAAGAAAAGAAAGGCACUAUUAUAAAGAAGGAUGUGGAUGGGACAUGGUGUUAUGUGUAAAGAUUUUCACUACCCACUGGGCAAGAAAUCUAUUUUGUUGCAGUGCAGCAGUCCAUGGGUAUAAUAGACAUUUCAGAGUUAAAAGAAACCAAGUUCUCAAGAUACCUAGAAUGACUUAAAGGUUGAUUUCUGAGGAGUUACCCCUACCAUUGUAUAUUUGGAAGAAAUUUCCCCAUUUUCCAUUGGAAUGCCAAGGCUGUAUAUCACCUUAUUCUUAAGGUGUCUAACUAACUCACAGCUAGUUUUAACCAUUGUUUUUGAUAUUGCGAUAGAGGGAAAUAGUUUUAAUGUGAAGGGUUGUUUGUUUGUUUUUUUCCAGAAGUCGCGAGAUGUCUUUAUGUUGUAUUUUAGGCCAUCUUUUCCCUUAGGGUUCCUUUUUUUUUUUUUUUUUUUUUUUUUUUUUUUUAACGAUGUGAAGCUGCAUUGCUAAGAAACUGCCAAAUGUGAACUUUCCACAACCUAACACA